AACUAGGAAUUAAGAUUACUGACGUGUAAAUGAAAAAAGUGCAAAUUGUUAUGAUUGAUCAGCGCAAGAAUAUUAUAGCAUAUGUUUUCCAUUUUAAAACAUUAUAAAUUGCAAUAGUCGCAAUAGUCAAUAAAAACAUUAGGAACACAGCAAAUAGCGUGUAUCUUUUCGCUGUAUAUGUCAAAGUGACGCGUACGAGUAUUCAUAAUAUAGCACUGCACACUCAUAGCUUGUGCGUUACUGUGUGAAUAACUAUUUCCGUACUUCGUGCGUGUGUCGCCUUGUACUGACUUCAUGUGAGGAACAGCAGCCAAUAACCGGACAUUGGUGCUUUAAAUUCUGCCCCGGGUCAUUCAAAGCUCACAGCCACGCGCUAUACUGAAGAAAGAGGAAGAGGGUUGAUGGACUCUAAAGACCAAUGUAAAGAUAAUUUUGGAGCAAUCACGUUAGUUCAGAUAGUAGUCAAGAGAUGAACGACCUCCGAAGGGGGGAAAGACCAGCAGCCGUGCCAAAAAACAGCCUGUUACUGAAUGGAGACCGUUCCCAUUGGGAUACAUGGAGUGUGGAGGAGUGUUUUGGAACAAACAGCCACAAAAUCUUACUUGGAUUGCCAACAAGCCAUGACAGAUUGACUCUGGUAGAUUGUGUAUCAGUGCCACAGCGACUAAACGGCAGACUGUUUAUAGAUUAAUGCUUCUUCAACUAAAUGUACAAAUUUGCACAGCAGCCUUCUGACCCCGCAGAGAGGAGGAAACCUCUGACACUCCUCACUGAAAUGCCUGCUAUCUUCUGUUGGUAUUUAUAGGCUGUCGCUCCAGUGAUAAGGUGGCACUGGCGGUCUGGAGUGAGACAGAGAGAAACGAGGACUGACCUUCUCAGACGGAGAGUGUGAGCUCUGCCACUGUCCUCCACACCAUCUAGAUGACUGCUUCACCUUGCCUUUGAGACACUGUGCUUAAGGGUGAUUGUGUGUGUGUAAGGUGAGAGUGUUGAAAAGACACCUGAACUAGUAAUAGGAGAAAAAAUUACCUCUUGCUUCUUUGCAUGCAGUAUAUCUCUGCUUGUCUGACUCUGCACAAUAAAGAUCACUGUGAUGACACAA